GGCUGCACUAUUUUCAAAAAUUAAAUGAAAAAACCUAAAUCUUUAACAAUUGAUCCCUCAAAUUCCCUAGAUUAAAAAUAUCCCUAUAUCAAAAACAGAAACUAGUCAUUUCGUUCAGAAAAAUUCAACAAUCAUACUAUAACUUAUUGUACAAGUUACGGAAAAAAAAUCAACCAAGGCAGAACUGCCUCAACGGCCGAAACGUCUUGUUUACACAAAUUACAAUUUUCUAGGUCCAUACCACAAUUUAUAUACUAAGAUCUACGAGUCAUCUACUGGAUUGG
rnacentral:lncRNA from 1 species